GGUGCCAGGGACAAUGCAAGGCAAAUGGGGAGAAGCCGUAAGCGAAGGCUGUGUGGAUACUGCCAGGGUGGCUGUGUAGAAAAGCAUUUUUGGAAGGGAGGACAGGGCCUGUGCCCCCCUGCAUUAUCCAGCUGGCCUCUGUGCUGCCAGGUUUUAAGACAAAGCUCUUGAGUUUCCAGAGAUACGGGCCUACAGCCAGGUUUCACCUCCAUUUCUGCCCAAAAGGUAAAAGAUUUGUCGAUACCCUCGACAGGAGGCAGAGUUUUUGAUGUACUUAUCCAUCGCGGCUGUGUGCUGGACACAGGACAGACCUUGUCUCAACUCUAGGGACUUGAGGGUAGCCCUGGAAAAAUUGGGUAAAACAAAACUCAGGAAGAACAAAAGAAAAUUCACAGAAAAGGAAGGCCUUUGGGGCCUGGGGAAAAGGCACACCUCCAGCAGCCACGCCUAAACCAGGGGCUGAUGAGUGCUUGUGGCUGAUGGCAUCGCUUGAAGGUACAGCUCCUCAAAGAGACCAUCUGUGCUAUAAGAAGGUUUGUAUCCUCAAGACAGCCAUAAUUCACACUAGUGUCAUGAUACAAGCUACAACCAACAAUACUAGAAAGGUUAUGUCAGCAUCCAUGUCACAUGACCACAGACGGCAGUUUCAUCUCCUGUGUUGUUUAAUGCUAAUGGCUGCAGUGAGUUUACAGGUGUCUGACCCAACUCUGCAGCUUCAGUGUUGAACUGGAAGCACUACCUCAAGAUUAAGAGAAAAUUCUGCAUCAGAAAAAUAUCACUGCACAUUUUUGGACAACAGCAGCUAGAGCAGAAUGAUGCUUUUGAAGGAAAUGAUGACGUUAUUUUAAGGGAAAAGAAUAACAUACAUUAAUCUCAAUAAAAUCAUGUGAAGAAAAUUCAUGAGUCACCAAGAAAUGUUGUCACUGGAUAGUGUGGUAUCUGGAAAGGUCCUCCUGAAUUACUUAUCCUAACACAGCCAAAGUUUAUUGGGUGCUUGACUGAUAAGUCAAAUAGACAUUUCUUGUCCCAGGGAGAAGAAUGUGGACAUGGGAGAAGUAGAAGAAAAACAAAGGUUGGAAGUGGAGGAAGGGAAGCCAAGGACAUUCCUUUGGCUAGUUAAUUUUCUGAAGUAUGUUUCAUAAUGCAUAUAUUCUAACUUAUAAGAAUAUAUGCAUUAUGGUUUAGCAUAAUUAUUCCACAGUGUAACUUAAAAUAUCCCACUGGACGCCAAUUAACAUGCUAUAUCUGGGCCUGUUGACUUUCUGCUGUAAUUCUGUAGCAAAACACGGUGAAAAGGUAGACAGGGUAAUCAGCACAUCUGUUGCUAGAACCCAGUAUCUUUGCUUUACAGUUAUGAGUAAGAAUCUCACCUACUUAAUUACUCCCAAGUCUGCUUGGGAAAUGAUUAGAAUGGAAUGUCAACUGUAUUAAUGCAAGCAUAGGGCUCUUACAGGAACGUGUAUAUCAGCUAAAGAAUUGAGUUUGUAAGAUGGAGGAGGUGAACUGAAGCUGUUGCUAGUCUGUGAGAAGAGAGGUACCAACAGUCUCCCAGUGCUUGAGACCUCUCCUCUUCUAUUGUCUUCUUUUCCUUUAAUUGUAUGGAUUAAGAAAAAAAACCAAAACAACUAAUCCAGAAAUCUCUUGCUAGUUUUGCAAUAUCCUCAUUUUACAGAGGCAUAAGCUUUCCUCUCUACCUAAUAUCAAAAAAUGCAGAAAAGUCAGUAAGUUCAGGCAUGCUUGUUAUCAGAUCUAGUGCUUCAGCCAUCUGCUUCCACAGUUCCUGAAACUGCUGAUAGUUGUCUGGCAGAGAUUAUAACCACUGUCACUGAAUGCUGAGAAGACAUUGAAGAAGUCAGGCUAAUAUUUAUUUACAUAUCCUUGCCCUUGUAAUUUAUCUGCAUCUAGCAGCUCAGAAUGGCUUAAACUGGGGUUAUGGUUCUAGUUGUAUAGAGGAAAUGGCACAAGAAGAUUACUUGAUUUUAUAGGAGAGGAACAAUAAUAGCACUCACAAUUUUCAGCUAACAGACUGACUUAACUUCACACAUCCACAGAAGACAACUGUGAAAACAGGCAGAAUUAGAGACACAGGGCAGGAGACAACACUGGUAUAAAUCUUUUACAGUCAGAACAGAAAUUUAGACAACAUUAGGAAUUGCAACACUUAAUAUCUGUGGGCUCUGCAGGAGACUCAGUAGGGCUGCAUUAAAUUUACCUCAGCAUAUAGCAGGAGCUGUAUUCCCAAGAGCACUGCUGAAGCGAGUGAAGGGCUGAUCAGUGAGUCUCACAGAGGCAGCCAGUGGAGGAACAGGGAGCAGAAGAGUUUUUCUCUGUGACUUAAAUAUUUGUGUUUGGCCUGGAGCAACAGCCCAGGAGCUUUUCUGAUGGUAGAUAGCUAUUGCCAUUCCUUCUGGAUGAGAUUAAAUUUAAAAGCAAGUUGUGUCACGAAACUGUAGUGAUGCCUGUUUCCCAUGGAUGCGUGCUGAUUUUGCACUACACCUCUUUACAAUGACAAUUUUUUUCCCACAAGUUCUACCAACUAAUAGAGGGUAUGAGCUAAGGCAUGUUUUGAACUUUUUAUCUCUUGCAUACCCUAAUGACAGCUCUUUCACCAGGACAUGAAUUUGGAUCCCUCCCUCCUCACCAGAUGCUUAUUUUUCCAGAAGCUCAGCCCUGAUUUCAGUUUGACUGAAUUUGGACAAUGAGUUUAAAAGUUAUGUGAGUUGAAGGGGCGGGUGGGAAAGAUUUACAGAAAAGAAUAACCUUAUGGCCCAUUAAGCCUGGUGCUCUUAAGAAAGCAGGCAAAAAGGAUAUGGGCAGGGGCAGGAAUGACUGUCUUAGUUUUUAUAGUUUGAAAACCUAGUGAUGAAGCACCUUCCCAGGAAGCAGGAAACAAGCCCAGACUAUGUGGUUUCAAAUCUGCAUCUUUCAUGACCAGGGAGAUUUCGCCUAAUUAUCAAAUCACUUACGGAGAAAGGCUCUUGUGACCUCUAUUGUAGGUGUAGAAGAAAGGAUUACCAACCACCUCGCCCCUGGAAAAUCACAGUUGUACUAAUUUCCAAAGAGCAACAGCCUUGUCCUUAAUGGGUCGCAGCUAUGACUAAUAAAGACAAGUGUGAUAGAAGGGGAGGGUUGGCUGCUCAGGAAAAACCUGGAGGAAAGGAACCUUGAGGAAGGGGAGCUGGAGAAAGAGAACCUUGGGGAAGUAGAGAAGCGCUGAGGAAGAAGGAGUGAUCCAGAGAGACGCUAAGAAGAACAAAACAAGGGAAAGAGUUGCUGCUAUAAAAGAUCUGCUGUGGGGUCAGUCUGGGUCUGAUGGAGCUGGAGCCUGCACUCAUGGUCGAGCCAGGUAAAAGCCUGUGGUCAGAGCCUGCAAACCAAUACCUGCAGUCACAGGCCAGCAGGAAAUAACCAGCAGUCAAAGGCUGCAGGUGACCCUACAGUAGGAGCUUUCUGUAGUCAGUCAGGGUGGCUCAGCUGUAAAGAAUAAUAAACUGGGACCCUUUUCACGUUGUUAAAUGUGUCUUGGCUCAUUUCUACCCUAACAAGAGGUUUGCUGCAACACUCUAGGCUUAUGAUUUGGCAAGGAAGCAGCUGUGGAGACAGACCUAUUGUUAGACUAUGAACUUGUGCCAAUAUUUCAGAGAAACACAAAGUUUAGCGCCUGAAUCCAAUUUUCAGCAGCUACCUGAGUAGGUCGAUCCUGAGCCUUUAGCAGUUCCCAAAUGAAGGCUGCAGUGAAUCAGAACAUCUGUACACAAAGCCAGAUAUUUAAAUGUCUAAAUACAUAUUUACAUGAAUACAGUCUACAGUGCCAAUUUUUAAGUGUUUUGACUUGAGCUAACUUCCUAACAGAUGGUUAUUCUGAAUCUAUCUUCAU